AGAUUAGUGAAUGAAGAAAUUUCUUUUAAUAAGUCUGAUCUGAUUUUAAUGAAGAACCCUGAUCUAUGAUUGUCAGACAGCGUACUGGCACCCACCUUAAUCAGACCAUGAAUCUUUAGAUUUGAUUAUCCAUGAUUUCGAUCUAGCCAUGAUUUGAUUUGAUCAUGUUGGUUUCACCAAUUGAGAUAUUGGACCAAUCGUAAUGUUGGAUUGUGUCACCUGAUCAAUUUGAAUUGUACCUUGUUGGGUAUAAAAUACCCCCAACCGAAGUCCUCAACAAAAUCAACAACUUCGCUAGCAAGGCCGAC
rnacentral:lncRNA from 1 species